AUUGAACGCUGGCGGCAGGCCUAACACAUGCAAGUCGAGCGAGCGGCGGACGGGUGAGUAAUGUAUGGGGACUGACAGAUAGAGAGGGAUAACUACUGGAAACGGUAGCUAAUCCCGCAUACUAUUGGAUAAGCCAUAUGGGAUUAGCUAGUAGGUGAGGUAAUGGCUCACCUAGGAGACGAUCCCUAGCUGGUCUGAGAGGAUGAUCAACCACACUGGGACUGAGACACGGCCCAGACUCCUACGGAGGCAGCAGUGGGGAACAUUGCACAAUGGGCGAAAGCCUGAUGCAGCCAUGCCGCGUGUAUGAAGAAGGCCCUAGGGUUGUAAAGUACUUUCAGUCGGGAGGCGUUACCGACAGAAGAAGCACCGGCUAACUCCGUGCCAGCAGCCGCGGUAAUAC
rnacentral:rRNA from 1 species